rnacentral:rRNA from 1 species
CGAAAGCCUGACGGAGCAAGACCGCGUGGGGGAGGAAGGCUCUAGGGUUGUAAACCCCUUUUCUUUGGGAAGAACAAAAUGACGGUACCAAAGGAAUCAGCCUCGGCUAACUCCGUGCCAGCAGCCGCGGUAAGACGGAGGAUGCAAGCGUUAUCCGGAAUUAUUGGGCGUAAAGGGUCCGCAGGUGGCUAUUCAAGUCUGCUUUCAAAGAGUGGAGCUCAACUCCAUAGAGGGAGUGGAAACUACAAAGCUAGAGUCUGGUAGGGGCAAAGGGAAUUCCCGGUGUAGCGGUGAAAUGCGUAGAGAUCGGGAAGAACAUCGGUGGCGAAAGCGCUUUGCUAGACCAGAACUGACACUCAGGGACGAGAGCUAGGGGAGCG